AUGGCAUACCCAUUCCAGUUAGGCUUCAAGAUGCAGCAUUACCUAUUACAGAAGAACUUUUGCAUUUCCAUGAUCACGCUUUAAUAAUUAUAUUUUUAGUUAUCCCUUUAUUUCUUUACAUUAUUUUAUUAACAAUUAAACUAACCCACACAAGUACUAUGGAUGUUUAAGAAGUAGACCUAUUUUACCCACUAUUAUUUUAAUCCUAAUUGCUUUACCAUCUUUACAAAUCCUAUUAAUAUACAUAAUGGAUGUAAUUAGUAACUCCUCCCUAACUAUAAAAACUAUAGUCCAUCAAUGAUACUGAAGUUAUGAAUACACACAUUACAAAGACCUAAUUUUGAUUCCUACAUAAUCCCUAUAACAAAUCUAAACCAGGAGAAGUACCACUACUCAAUGUUGAUAAUUGAGUAGUCCUGCCUAUAGAAAUAUCAACUCAUAUACUAAUCUUCUCUAAAAAUAUCCUACACUCAUUACAUUUAUGAGCUGUUCCAUCAUUAGGAUUAAAAACAGACACAUUUUCAGGACGUUUAAAUCAAGCAACUCUAACACCCACACAACCAGACCUGUAUUAUGGACAAUGCUCAGAAAUUUGUGGAUCAAAUCACAGCUUUAUACCCAUAGUACUUGAAUUAGUUCCACCAAAACACUUUGAAAACUGAUCAUCUGUUAUAAUG
rnacentral:lncRNA from 1 species